UACGUAGGGUGCGAGCGUUAAUCGGAAUUACUGGGCGUAAAGGGCUCGUAGGUGGCCAACUAAGUCAGACGUGAAAUCCCUCGGCUUAACCGGGGAACUGCGUCUGAUACUGGAUGGCUUGAGUUCGGGAGAGGGAUGCGGAAUUCCAGGUGUAGCGGUGAAAUGCGUAGAUAUCUGGAGGAACACCGGUGGCGAAGGCGGAUCUCUGGGCCAUUACUGACGCUGAGGAGCGAAAGCGUGGGGAGCGAACAGG
rnacentral:rRNA from 1 species